UUCCGGUUGAUCCCGCCGGACCCUACUGCUAUCGGGAUGAGAUUAAGACAUGCUAGUUGUACGCUUCCUAGCAACGUUGGGAGCGUAGCGAAAAACUCCGUAACACGUAGUUAAUCUUCCCUUAGGACGGGGAUAACCCCGGGAAACUGGGGCUAAUAACCGAUAGGCGGAAACGCCUGGAAUGGUCUUCCACCUAAAGGGUUUUAGAAACACGCUCAUAAGACUGCCUAAGGAUGAGACUGCGGCCGAUCAGGUUGUUGGUGGGGUAACGGCCUACCAAGCCUAUAACCGGCACGGGCCCUGAGAGGGGGAGCCCGGAGGUGGGAACUGAGACAAGGUCCCAGACCCUACGGGGUGCAGCAGUUGCGAAACCUCUACAAUGCACGAAAGUGUGAUAGGGUUAUCCCGAGUGCCAUCCGAUAAGGUUGGCUUUUCCUUGGUGUAAAGAUCCAGGGGAAUAAAGGGGGGGCAAGACUGGUGUCAGCCGCCGCGGUAAUACCAGCCCCCUGAGUGGUGGGGACAAUUAUUUGGCCUAAAGCGUUUGUAGCCGGCUUAGUAAGUCUUUCGUUAAAUCCAGUGACUUAAUCAUUGAACUGCGAGAGGUACUACUAGGCUUGAGGACGGGAGAGGUCGACGGUAUUUCGGGGGUAGGGGUAAAAUCCUAUAAUCCUCGAAGGACCACCAGUGGCGAAGGCGGUCGACUAGAACGUGCCUGACGGUGAUGGACGAAAGCUGGGGGAGCAAACCGGAUUAGACACCCGGGUAGUCCCAGCCGUAAACGAUGCGGGCUAGGUGUUGGGGCAGCUAUGAGCUGCUCCAGUGCCGCAGAGAAGUCGUUAAGCCCGCCGCCUGGGAAGUACGGUCGCAAGACUGGAACUUAAGGAAUUGGCGGGGGAGCACCACAAAGGGUGAAGCCUGCGGUUCAAUUGGAGUCAACGCCGGGAAUCACU
rnacentral:rRNA from 1 species